UAUUGCUAUAUUCAAUGUAGGUAAAGA
rnacentral:sRNA from 1 species